AUAAAUAAUAAUAAUAAUGGAUUUGUGUAGCGCCUAGUUUCCACUAUAUGGUGCUCAACAGAGCUGUAAGAAAGAGUGUUGAAGAUUAGAAAACACACUGAGUUAUAGCAGUGUACACAGUAGUAUUAGAGUAGCUUUGCGGAGGCAGUUUGGAAAAGAUGGGUUUUUAAUGCUGUUUUGAAGGCAGACUCUGAUGAUAAUAAUCUCAAGGAACUGUAGCAGAUGAUU